CGGGAUGAGGUGGUGCAGCCGCCCGGCAGGUGGCUGAAUGAAGAGGCAGGGAUUCCACUGGAUUAAUCAUCACAAACAGGAGGGGAGUUGUACAUUAAUUCUGGACAUUCAAUUCUUGACAGAAUGAACAUCAUCCAUAUCUACCUGCUGCUGGGUCUAGCUGCAUUUGUUCUCCAAGUUGAUUCGCUUCAAGGGUCAAAAGUCUACCUCGGAGAAUCUGUGCUGCUGAAGUGCACAGUUGAGUCAAACUCCACUGCUGAGUGGAGCUUUGAGUGGGACAAACCAAAAACUGUUCUGACCCUGAACCCCAGGCAUCUGGUCUCAAAUGACAGCUACUUCAUCACCGCUGUAACAAGGGAGGAUGCGGGCAGCUACAGGUGCAAAGCAG
ensembl:lncRNA